CUUGACCUCUUAUCGAAUGCUUUCUUCAUUCUCUGCUGAUAUAACUGACCAUGGCACAUGGCAGUUAAUCUCUUCUCUUCGACAUCAUUCGGCAUCAGUCAACUUGGGGUUUGAGGGUAUAUUUUUCUUUUAUUUUUUCUUUUUCUUUUAUUAUUCUUUUUUUUUUGAUUUGUUUUGAUUUUGAUUUUGUUUUUCACCCUCUUCUUU
rnacentral:lncRNA from 1 species